GUCUGGAUGUGAAAGAGGAGCAAGAAAUGCUCCUCUUUCACAUCCAGACUUGGCCAUUGAUCCCAGUGAUGAAGUGGAAAGACUCUGCUUUUCUAGCCGAGUCUUUGCACUUCAUCACUGGGAGGCAUAACGUCCACAAACAAAUAUGACUCGCACUUAUUUUACGUCUCAAAAGGAGAUUACUCACUUGCAUCGGCAAGUGUUCACUCCAACAGACACCACAUCAAUCAGGCUUACUGUGCAUUACAUUUCACCAGCUAUUACGAGCAAAACUGCAAUUUUCUUUAUGCCACAACUUGCCCAAUUCUGUGUUUUGCAAUAGCAUGUUUGCAGCAGUGCUAUGCUAUUAAGGUGCUUAAAUACUUGUGAAUAGUAGUAGAGAACAAAAAAGAAAGUAAGAAAGCAGUGGCUUUUCGUGCGCAGACUAUGCAUACACCUGCUGUUGCAAUGGCCAUUUUUCCCCGUCUGCUAAACCAUUUUAAACAAGAGAAGCAUAUACACAAUUAUUGUGCAAGAUCGGAGAACAACCAAACCAAAGGUGUCCUUGGUAAGCGAGUUUUUUUAUGGAUGGGGAGUAUGUGGUGCCAUGGAUGGAGUCUUGCCCCCUCAUUCUGUACACUAUGUUAGUCUUCUGUGUCCAAGGCCAUUUUACAUUUGAAUGCGAUUGUAUAAUUUUGUUAAGUUCUGGCUCUCACCUACGCUUGAAAGUUUGUUACCCACUGCUGGUGGCACACUUGCACUUGUGUGACAUUUUUUUCAAUAAUAGAAAGUCUAUCACUUA